rnacentral:lncRNA from 1 species
UCAGUGGAGAGGGUUCCACCUUUCUGAAUCCCCACUUUUUGUCAUGAGCUCACCCUAUCCAGGGUUAAGAGCUAUGAGGUCUUAUCCUCAUUACCCCUUUUGAUCUGCUCACCCUGAAUUUCAGUGUCAGUUGGUUAAGAGCUCGUUUGAUUACCUUUCCAUGGCUUGUUUGUCGAGGUUGAUAUGACCCCUCUUGACUAAAGUCCUACCCAUGUAUGUUU